CGGACGGGUGAGUAAUGUCUGGGAAACUGCCUGAUGGAGGGGGAUAACUACUGGAAACGGUAGCUAAUACCGCAUAAUGUCGCAAGACCAAAGAGGGGGACCUUUGGGCCUCUUGCCAUCGGAUGUGCCCAGAUGGGAUUAGCUAGUAGGUGGGGUAACGGCUCACCUAGGCGACGAUCCCUAGCUGGUCUGAGAGGAUGACCAGCCACACUGGAACUGAGACACGGUCCAG
rnacentral:rRNA from 1 species